rnacentral:rRNA from 1 species
CCUACGGGGGGCACCAGUGGGGAAUAUUGCACAAUGGGCGCAAGCCUGAUGCAGCCAUGCCGCGUGUAUGAAGAAGGCCAUCGGGUUGUAAAGUACUUUCAGCGGGGAGGAAGGCGAUAAGGUUAAUAACCUUGUCGAUUGACGUUACCCGCAGAAGAAGCACCGGCUAACUCCGUGCCAGCAGCCGCGGUAAUACGGAGGGUGCGAGCGUUAAUCGGAAUUACUGGGCGUAAAGCGCACGCAGGCGGUCUGUCAAGUCGGAUGAGAAAUCCCCGGGCUCAACCUGGGAACUGCAUUCGAAACUGGCAAGCUAGAGUCUUGUAGAGGGGGGUAGAAUUCCAGGUGUAGCGGUGAAAUGCGUAGAGAUCUGGAGGAAUACCGGUGGCAAAGGCGGCCCCCUGGACAAAGACUGACGCUCAGGUGCGAAAGCGUGGGGAGCAAACAGGAUUAGAUACCCUGGUAGUC